rnacentral:rRNA from 1 species
UACCAGCACCCCGAGUGGUCGGGACGAUUAUUGGGCCUAAAGCAUCCGUAGCCGGUCCUGCAAGUCUUCCGUUAAAUCCAGCUGCUUAACAGAUGGGCUGCGGAGGAUACUAUAAGACUAGGAGGCAGGAGAGGCAAGCGGUACUCAGUGGGUAGGGGUAAAAUCCGUUGAUCCAUUGAAGACCACCAGUGGCGAAGGCGGCUUGCCAGAAUGCGCUCGACGGUGAGGGAUGAAAGCUGGGGGAGCAAACCGG